AACGAACGCUGGCGGCGCGCCUAAUACAUGCAAGUCGAACGAGAAGCUGUAGCAAUACAGUUGUACAGUGGCGAACGGGUGAGGAAUACAUGGGUGACCUACCCUCGAGUGGGGAAUAACCAGCCGAAAGGUUGGCUAAUACCGCGUACGCUUCCCAGUCUACGGGUUGGGAAGGAAAGCGAUGCCGUGGGUAUCGCGCUCAAGGUUGGGCUCAUGUCCUAUCAGCUUGNGGUGGGGUAACGGCUCACCAAGGCAACGACGGGUAGCUGGUCUGAGAGGACGAUCAGCCACACUGGCACUGCGACACGGGCCAGACUCCUACGGGAGGCAGCAGUAAGGAAUAUUGCGCAAUGGGCGAAAGCCUGACGCAGCGACGCCGCGUGGGGGAUGAAGGUCUUCGGAUUGUAAACCCCUUUCGGGAGGGAAGAGUGGAACGAGCAAUCGUUCGGACGGUACCUCCAG
rnacentral:rRNA from 1 species